rnacentral:rRNA from 1 species
AAGGUAACGGCUUACCAAGGCAACGAUGCGUAGCCGACCUGAGAGGGUGAUCGGCCACACUGGAACUGAGACACGGUCCAGACUCCUACGGGAGGCAGCAGUAGGGAAUCUUCCGCAAUGGGCGAAAGCCUGACGGAGCAACGCCGCGUGAGUGAUGAAGGUCUUCGGAUCGUAAAACUCUGUUAUUAGGGAAGAACAAAUGUGUAAGUAACUAUGCACGUCUUGACGGUACCUAAUCAGAAAGCCACGGCUAACUACGUGCCAGCAGCCGCGGUAAUACGUAGGUGGCAAGCGUUAUCCGGAAUUAUUGGGCGUAAAGCGCGCGUAGGCGGUUUUUUAAGUCUGAUGUGAAAGCCCACGGCUCAACCGUGGAGGGUCAUUGGAAACUGGAAAACUUGAGUGCAGAAGAGGAAAGUGGAAUUCCAUGUGUAGCGGUG